rnacentral:rRNA from 1 species
GGCGGCAUGCCUUACACAUGCAAGUCGAACGGCAGCACGGGAGCAAUCCUGGUGGCGAGUGGCGAACGGGUGAGUAAUAUAUCGGAACGUGCCCGGUCGUGGGGGAUAACGUAGCGAAAGCUACGCUAAUACCGCAUACGAUCUACGGAUGAAAGCGGGGGAUCGCAAGACCUCGCGCGAUUGGAGCGGCCGAUAUCAGAUUAGGUAGUUGGUGAGGUAAAGGCUCACCAAGCCGACGAUCUGUAGCUGGUCUGAGAGGACGACCAGCCACACUGGGACUGAGACACGGCCCAGACUCCUACGGGAGGCAGCAGUGGGGAAUUUUGGACAAUGGGCGCAAGCCUGAUCCAGCAAUGCCGCGUGCAGGAUGAAGGCCUUCGGGUUGUAAACUGCUUUUGUACGGAACGAAACGGUGAGCUCUAAUACAGUUUGCUAAUGACGGUACCGUAAGAAUAAGCACCGGCUAACUACGUG